rnacentral:rRNA from 1 species
GUUUGAUCCUGGCUCAGAUUGAACGCUGGCGGCAGGCCUAACACAUGCAAGUCGAGCGGUAGCACAGAGAAGCUUGCUUCUUGGGUGACGAGCGGCGGACGGGUGAGUAACGCGUGGGAAUCUACCUGGUAGUGGGGGACAACAGUCGGAAACGACUGCUAAUACCGCAUACGCCCUUCGGGGGAAAGUGGGGGAUCUUCGGACCUCACGCUAUCAGAUGAGCCCGCGUCGGAUUAGCUUGUUGGUGAGGUAAAGGCUCACCAAGGCGAUGAUCCGUAGCUGGUCUGAGAGGAUGACCAGCCACACUGGGACUGAGACACGGCCCAGACUCCUACGGGAGGCAGCAGUGGGGAAUAUUGGACAAUGGGGGCAACCCUGAUCCAGCCAUGCCGCGUGUGUGAAGAAGGCCUUCGGGUUGUAAAGCACUUUCAGCUGUGAGGAAAGGCGAGUGGUUAAUACCCGCUUGCUGUGACGUUAACAGCAGAAGAAGGACCGGCUAACUCCGUGCCAGCAGCCGCGGUAAUACGGAGGGUCCGAGCGUUAAUCGGAAUUACUGGGCGUAAAGCGCGCGUAGGUGGUUCAGUCAGUCAGAUGUGAAAGCCCCGGGCUCAACCUGGGAACUGCACCUGAUACUGCUGAGCUAGAGUACGGUAGAGGGCAGUGGAAUUUCCGGUGUAGCGGUGAAAUGCGUAGAGAUCGGAAGGAACACCAGUGGCGAAGGCGACUGCCUGGACUGAUACUGACACUGAGGUGCGAAAGCGUGGGUAGCAAACAGGAUUAGAUACCCUGGUAGUCCACGCCGUAAACGAUGUCAACUAGCCNNUGGGGGANUUGAUCCUUUANUGGCGAAGCUAACGCGAUAANUUGACCGCCUGGGGAAGUACGGCCGCAAGGUUAAAACUC